UUGUUUGGAGGGACGGCUGAAAUUAUACCUUUAUGCUUAAGUUGUUCCCCACCUGUACACGUUCCACAAGGCUGAAGCCUUUGAGUUUUCCCAAGAGAAUCUAUCUAUAAGAGACAAAUAUAAGAUAUUGUAGUCAGGCUACCAUUCCCAAUCAAUUAAUUAUUUAUUAAUUUUAUCUAUCCCAUGGCAUAAGGCAACAGAGCCCAUGGCAUAAGGCAACAGG
rnacentral:lncRNA from 1 species